AUGGUGGGCGCAUGGGUCGGGUCUUCGGGCUUUCGAGGCUAUCCAAGUCAGCUGGACGACUGGAAACCCACCCAGCCUUUUGCAGUUUUGCUAUGCCUGGCUCCUCCUAUGUCGCUGCUGCGCCGAAACAGAUCCAGAGAGAGCCAUGUUGCCUUGCCUCUAACCUAUUGGGAGAGGCCGAACAUCUGGUACGGCGGCAAGGGUGGAAAUAAGACGGCACAUAAUUGGGAAACAAAAUUGAGACCAUUCGUUGAGCAGUGGAGAACAGCAAGCUUGGUUCACUGGCACGAGGAGGCGCUCUUCGACCGAGCUGCGCAUGAGGCUCACCUACGGUGGUACCGGCCACAGAUGAGAUUGCGCUGCAUACCAAGAGCUGACCCUGAGGACAUGGAGACGGCUCACACUUCGGCUUCGGAGACGUACUAG
rnacentral:rRNA from 1 species